rnacentral:rRNA from 1 species
CAGCAGCAGCCACGGUAAAACGAAGGGGGCUAGCGUUGUUCGGAAUUACUGGGCGUAAAGGGCGCGUAGGCGGCCAUUCAAGUUAGAUGUGAAAGCCCUGGGCUCAACCUAGGAAUUGCAUUUGAUACUGUUUGGCUUGAGUUCAGGAGAGGUGAGUGGAAUUCCCAGUGUAGAGGUGAAAUUCGUAGAUAUUGGGAAGAACACCAGUGGCGAAGGCGGCUCACUGGACCGACACUGACGCUGAGGCGCGAAAGCGUGGGGAGCAAACAGGAUUAGAUACCCCUGUAGUCCCUGUCUCUUAUAC